rnacentral:tRNA from 2 species
GCGGGUGUAGUUCAAUGGUAGAACAUCAGCUUCCCAAGCUGAAUACGGGAGUUCGAUUCUCCUCACCCGCU